rnacentral:rRNA from 1 species
UACAGAGGUGCUCAAGCGUUGUUCGGAUUCAUUGGGCGUAAAGGGGUGCGUAGGCGGCGCGGUAAGUCGGGUGUGAAAUCUCGGAGGCUUAACUCCCGAAACUGCAUUCGUAUAACUGCCGUGCUUGAGGACUGGAGAGGAGACGUGGAAUUUACGGUGUAGCGGUAGAAAUGCGUAGAUAUCGAUAAGGAAGACCAGGUGGC